UUACGACCACAUCACGUUGAAACAUUGGUUCCCGUACGAUCACCGAAGUUAAGCAACGUUGAGCCUGGUCAGUACCUAGAUAGAUGAUGACAGGAGAAUGGCAAAUGCUGUAAG